UCUGUUUUAUUCUUCUUCACCACAUUAGUUUGUUGUAUGCUUUGCACUUGUUCAAUGAAGUUUCUUGAAAACAGGAAGCAGAACGUCUCCAGGAAAACUCAAACAGUCGGACCAGUCGGGGCAGCACACGUGAGAAAUGGUGACGAAGUAUUUAUUGUUCUCCUGCAGACUGAACCUUUGACCCAGUUCACUUUAUUCACCAUCAGCGGGGAUUUUCACCGGAAGCACCUGAUGAGGUCAGCAGGAGAACCAGCUGGACCUCAGAGGGAAACGUCCCCCAGGCUGAAAGGAACCAGCGCUGACUCAGCAGAAGCUGCUCUGGCCUGGUCAGUUUUCUGGAAGCUGAUAUCGAUCCUCUGACUUACGGUCGGGCCGCUUCCGUCCAGCGGCACAGACGGAUUUUUACCGGAACCCGCCGAAUCACUCAGACCGAAACUGCGAGUGAAAUCCCACCCGGCUUCCGUAAGCUGCGAGCGCGUUUCGCGAGAGGAACCCGAGGAGAGGAGGGAGGAGGAAGAGGGGAUUUCCCGGAUUCCCGGGAUGAAGGAGAAAAACAACAACAACAGGAGGAGCUGCAGCUUCCCGGAAAGGAUGACGUCACCGAGCAGCAGGAAUAAUAAAAUCUCUUUCAGGUCACCUGAAAAUCAUAAAUAAGAGCUUUUAUGAAGAAUAAAUAUAAAAACAACAUUAAAAUACAUAAAUAAUAAAUAAAAUAUCGAAUUUUUACACGUUGUAAGCUUUAUUAUUAUCACAAUAAUGGGGUUGUAUUAAAUUAUACUAAAAAUAAAUAAUAUUUACAAACUCUAAAA